rnacentral:rRNA from 1 species
GAUGAACGCUAGCGGCAGGCCUAAUACAUGCAAGCCGAACGGCAAGCCUUGUAGCAAUACGAGGCCUAGAGUGGCGCAAGGGUGCGUAACACGUAUGCAAUCUGCCCACAACAGGAGGACAGCUCCCCGAAAGGGGAAUUAACCCUCCAUGGGACCACACGAGGGCAUCCGAGAGUGGUUAAACCAAAAGGGGUUGGUGGAUGGGCAUGCGGUUGAUUAGCUGGUUGGAGGGUAACGGCCUACCAAGGCGAUGAUCAAUAGGGGAACUGAGAGGUUUGU